rnacentral:rRNA from 1 species
UACGUAGGUGGCAAGCGUUGUCCGGAUUUACUGGGCGUAAAGAGCGCGCAGGCGGUCGGAUAAGUCGAAUGUGAAAGCCCCCGGCUCAACUGGGGAGGGUCAUUCGAUACUGUUCGACUCGAAGGCAGGAGAGGGAAGUGGAAUUCCCGGUGUAGUGGUGAAAUGCGCAGAUAUCAGGAGGAACACCGGUGGCGAAGGCGGGUCUCUGGGCCGUAACUGACGCUGAGGAGCGAAAGCGUGGGGGAGCGAACAGG